AUUGAACGCUGGCGGCAGGCCUAACACAUGCAAGUCGAACGGUAACAGGAAGCAGCUUGCUGCUUCGCUGACGAGUGGCGGACGGGUGAGUAAUGUCUGGGAAGCUGCCUGAUGGAGGGGGAUAACUACUGGAAACGGUAGCUAAUACCGCAUAAUGUCGCAAGACCAAAGAGGGGGAGCUUCGGUCCUCUGGCCAUCGGAUGUGCCCAGAUGGGAUUAGCUUGUUGGGGGGGUAACGGCCCACCAAGGCGACGAUCCCUAGCUGGUCUGAGAGGAUGACAAGCCACACGGGAACUGAGACACGGUCCAGACUCCUACGGGAGGCAGCAGUGGGGAAUAUUGCACAAUGGGCGCAAGCCUGAUGCAGCCAUGCCGCGUGUAUGAAGAAGGCCUUCGGGUUGUAAAGUACUUCCAGCGGGGAGGAAGGGAGUAAAGUUAAUACCUUGGCUCAUUGACGUUACCCGCAGAAGAAGCACCGGCUAACUCCGUG
rnacentral:rRNA from 1 species